UUUACUAACUUAUAACAACUCUAUUAUAAGCCACUUUAUAAUAACUCUAUUACAAAGACUUUACAACUCGACUAACUCUAGUCAGGACACAAACACAUAGGUUUAUGAUUUACAAAGGCUUUUCUAAAUGCUUCUAAUUAAGCUAAGUAGAAAUUACAAGUACGAGCUUUUACAAAGUUACAACUCAACUAAGGACAUAAUAAAAUGAUAUGGGGAACUGAUUCAUAGCAGUGUUGUUCUUUGUUUUUGAUGCACUUGAGAAUCAUUUGCUGGAUGAUCA
rnacentral:lncRNA from 1 species